rnacentral:lncRNA from 1 species
GGGCCCGCAUCAGCACCUGCCGACGAGCCUGUAACUGGUCCGCACGGUUGGGAUGGAUGGCCCCCUUCUCCACGGCCGACUGCAGCAGGCCUUCCAGGUGAAUCACAUAGACAAAGAGAGUCUCCUGGGGCCGCUGGCCACAGGUCAGGAACUUCAGCCGUGCGGUCGUGGGGGUGUCCUUCCUCCCAAACACCUGGACCAGCGCGGCCAGGCAAUCCUGUGCAGGGACGUCAGGGUUUUCUGCCAGGAGGCCGCACACGAGAUCCAGUGCGGGGCCACCCAAGCUCUCCAUCAGCCUCCUCCUCCUCUCCCUUUCUGUGAUGUGGCACCACAGGUACAGCGUGUCUCUGGCGUGAUCCAGCCAGCUCUCAAAGGACUCUUCUUCUCGGUGUGGCUCUUCCAUUCCAGGAAAGGUUCUCAGUUUCAUAGAGGCCCUGUUUUCCAGCACAGGCUGCCAGACCGGGCUCCAAGGCUGGGUCCAGGAUCUUCCCGCACCUAUGGCUCCUGCCACACCCACAGCUCCUUCCUCACCUGCAGGUCCCGCCUCACCUGCAGCUCCUGCCACACUCACAGAUCCUAACAAACCUGCAAUUCCUGCGUCCCCAGCGGCUCCCUCCUCAUCUGACUCUCCUGCUUCCUCUUCAGGCCCUGCCUGGCCCAAGUGGCUGCCCUGCCUCCAGCUCCUUCCUCGCCUCCAGCCACUGCCUCGCCUCCAGUUCCUUCCUCACCUCCAGCUGCUGCCCCGCCUCCAGCUCCUUCCUUGCCUCCAGCCGCUGCCCCGCCUCCAUCUUCUGCCUUGCCUCAGCUCCUGCCUCACCUCCUUCCUCACCUCCAGCUGCUGCCUAGCCUUCCAGUUCCUUCUCACCUCCAGCUCCUUCCUGGCCUCCAGCCGCUGACAGGCCUCCAGCCGCUGCCACGCCUCCAGCUGCUGCCUCGCCUCCAGCUCAUGCCCCGCCUCCAGACUCUGCCCCGCCUCCAGCCGCUGCCUUGCCUCCAGUUCCUGCCUUGCCUCCAGUUCCUUCCUCACCUCCAGCUCCUUCCUCACCUGCAGGUCCCGCCUCACCUGCAGCUCCUGCCACACUCACAGAUCCUAACAAACCUGCAAUUCCUGCGUCCCCAGCGGCUCCCUCCUCAUCUGACUCUCCUGCUUCCUCUUCAGGCCCUGCCUGGCCCAAGUGGCUGCCCUGCCUCCUGCUCCUUCCUCGCCUCCAGCCACUGCCUCGCCUCCAGUUCCUUCCUCACCUCCAGCUGCUGCCCCGCCUCCAGCUCCUUCCUUGCCUCCAGCCGCUGCCCCGCCUCCAUCUUCUGCCUUGCCUCCAGCUCCUGCCCCGCCUCCAGCUGCUGCCUAGCCUCCAGUUCCUUCCUCACCUCCAGCUCCUUCUGCGCCUCCACCUGCUGCCCUGCCUCCAGCCGCUGCCCCGCCUCCAGCUCCUGCCUCGCCUCUAGCUCCUGCCCCGCCUCCAGCCGCUGCCUCGCCUCCAUCUCCUUCCUCGCCUCCAGUUCCUGCCUUGCCUCCAGCUCCUUCCUCGCCUCCAGCUCCUUCCUCGCUCCAGCUGCUGCCCCGCCUCCAGCUCCUUCCUGGCCUCUAGCUCCUGCCCCGCCUCCAACUGCUGCCCCGCCUCCUGCCGCUGCCCGCCUCCAUCUCCUUCCUCGCCUCCAGCUCCUGCCCCGCCUCCAGCUGCUGCCCCGCCUCCAGCCCCUUCCUUGCCUCCAGAAGCUGCCCCGCCUCCAGCCGCUGCCCCGCCUCCAGCUCCUGCCUCGCCUCUAGCUCCUGCCCCGCCUCCAGCCGCUGCCUCGCCUCCAGUUCCUUCCUCACCUCCAGCUCCUGCCUCACCUCCUUCCUCACCUCCAGCUCCUUCCUCGCCUCCAGCUGCUGCCCCGCCUCCAGCUCCUUCCUGGCCUCUAGCUCCUGCCCCGCCUCCAACUGCUGCCCCGCCUCCUGCCGCUGCCCGCCUCCAUCUCCUUCCUCGCCUCCAGCUCCUGCCCCGCCUCCAGCUGCUGCCCCGCC